CCUACGGGUGGCAGCAGUCGAGAAUCAUUCACAAUGGGGGAAACCCUGAUGGUGCGACGCCGCGUGGGGGAAUGAAGGUCUUCGGAUUGUAAACCCCUGUCAUGUGGGAGCAAAUUAAAAAGAUAGUACCACAAGAGGAAGAGACGUCUAACUCUGUGCCAGCAGCCGCGGUAAUACAGAGGUCUUAAGCGGUGUUCGGAAUCACUGGGCGUAAAGCGUGCGUAGGCUGUUUCGGAAGUCGGGUGUGAAAGGCGCGGGCUCAACCUGCGGACGGCACAUGAUACUGCGAGACUAGAGAGAUGGAGGGGGAAGCGGAAUUCUCGGUGUAGCAGGGAAAGGCGUAGAUAUC
rnacentral:rRNA from 1 species